rnacentral:misc_RNA from 1 species
UAACUUUGUAACCAUUUUACAACUAUUUUAUAGCCUUAUAAAUACAAGAGUAGCAUUGUCUCCACAUUGGACCUGGUUAAUCUAUAUGUCUAUAAUUUAUUGUUAGUAAUAGGCAAAGGUGUCUUGCAGGUCACUUGGUCAUUGGUGUGAAAAAGGCUCCAUGAGGUCUUAGGUUCAAACCAUAGCAGCAGCGUUUCCUUUAAAUAUUUUUGUUGAAUAGCCAAUUGGCCCGUUGUUACCCGGCCAGUUCACAACGGUCCAAAUAGAGUUUGUAAAAAUCAGGGUUUGAGUGUUAAACCAAACCGGACCAGGCUCCGGUUCCCCGCUAACCCAGUCCGACAUGCCAGUCCGGUAAGGGUUUAACAACAAUGGGCAAUAUGAUUUCAUGAAUUCAUGACGGUCAACAUGUUAUUCAGAGGCAAAAACAAGGAUUCAAAUUUGUAACACAG